rnacentral:lncRNA from 1 species
CUCUGCUGCGGCCGCAGUGGUACGUUCGCUGCGGGGAGAUGGCCCAGGCUGCCAGCGCCGCUGUGACUCGGGGUGACCUCCGCAUCCUGCCUGAGGCCCAUCAGCGCACAUGGCAUGCCUGGAUGGACAACAUCCGGUGUGUAGGGUCCUCAGUGUGGGAGGGGCUUGCCGAGGGCUGAGCAGGGCUCACUCGGGCCAGGCUCCAUCAGGCCCUCCCUGAUUUCUCCUCCCCGACAUUUGCAGGGAGUGGUGCAUUUCCAGGCAGCUGUGGUGGGGCCAUCGCAUCCCAGCCUACUUUGUCACUGUCAGUGACCCAGCGGUGCCCCCUGGGGAGGACCCUGAUGGGCGGUACUGGGUGAGUGGACGCAAUGAGGCGGAGGCCCGGGAGAAGGCAGCCAAGGAGUUCGGAGUGUCCCCUGACAAGAUCAGUCUCCAGCAAGGCAAGGCGGGGCUUUGAGGGUCUGGAGGGAGUUGUGGGGGGCAGAGCUCCACUCCCUCUGACCUCUGACCUUUGGCCUCUCUCAGAUGAGGAUGUAUUGGAUACCUGGUUCUCCUCUGGCCUCUUCCCCUUAUCCAUUUUGGGCUGGCCCAACCAGUCAGAAGACCUGAGUGUGUUCUACCCCGGGACACUGCUGGAGACCGGUCAUGACAUCCUCUUCUUCUGGGUGGCCCGGAUGGUCAUGCUGGGCCUGAAGCUCACGGGCAGGCUGCCCUUUAGAGAGGUGCGGAGACAGCCGAGACCCUCCCAUCGCCCCCAGCCUCCUCUCCUACCGUCCUGUGCUGCAGCGCAGACCCCGCGUGGCUGGGGCAUGGGGUUAGCUGUGGGCAGGCCUGACCCGGGGGCU